ensembl:lncRNA
GUUGAAACCCUGUUUUAUGAAGGCAAUUUAAACGAGAACAGCAUGUGAAAAAUACCAUUUCAUUACAAAGGUUUGAAUUCUUAAGCAAAAGGAACAUUUAGCGCCACAUUUAUGAUCAGAUUCAUUUCUGCAGCAUCGCAAAGACUUCUUUUGACGUUAAAAAGCUGCUAGACUUCCUGAAAAGACUCAGAGUAAGUUCUGUGUCUGAAAGGCGUGGGGUGUUUAGGAUUGUUGUAAUUGCAAUAAAUAAAUUCAUUACUUGUUCCAGCAUGUUACCUCCCUAAAUCAACUGAACUAUAGAGAACGGUAAACACACUUUGAUCAGUUAAUAUAGAUCAUCAACUUUAAAUCUAUGUUCUUCAUACAACAGCGAUUCACUUCGGAGCUCAGAGGUGUUUCGGUCAGUUAGUGUUAGAUUUUCAGGACAAUCUGUGCGAUGGUGGUAUAGUGGUUAGCAUAGCUGCCUUCCAAGCAGUUGACCCGGGUUCGAUUCCCGGCCAUCGCAGCGCUGGAUCUUUUGUGUCUAUCUUUGGCGCAAUGUUUUGUUUUGUUUUGUUUUGUUUUGUUUUGUUUUGUUUUGUUUUGUUUUGUUUUGUUUUGUUUUGUUUUGUUUUGUUUUGUUUUGUUUUGUUUUGUUUUGUUUUGUUUUGUUUUGUUUUGUGGGGGUGCCUUACUCUAAUCUCAUCACUGAAUCAGUGUUACUGCAGUUAACUAAAACCAAAGUGAUAACUAAAAGUAAAUGUGAAAAACCGUUACCGUUUUUGAAUGUUUUUAUGCAGACUUUGAACGUCUACAAGCCUGUGAGUCUGUGUCUUGCCUCUGACAUUAUGCCCUCCAUUCAAGAAUAAUUAAUAAAGACAAAAAUUGAAACUAAACUAAAACUAAACAUCUACAAAAAAUAGAAAUUUUAGAAAAUAGAAAACAGACUAAAAACUAAACUGAAUUCAAAUCAAAAAGUUAAAAGGAAAUAAAUAUAAAAGCUAAGAAGAAAAUACAAAACACCCUCUGAAUUGUUUUGAAACAAUUUAGCUGCUGUCUGUGUUAAUCUGUUGGAAAAUGUGUGGUUAACCUUCAG